GAUUUUGUAAGGAGGCACUAAUCAAACUAGAUAUAUUAAGCUUUCCAUUAGAUACAGGAUGCUUCCCUGUGUCUCAAACCAUGUCUUGCUCUAUGAAAGUGAAUAUGAAUGCGCUCUGAACAGAAAAUCAGAUCUGAAGAUAACCUCCAAAACCUGAAGUGAAUUGUCGCCAGCAGUUAAAUCUCCAAGGCUUAUUUGGCCAGCUUUCAUAAUUUAUUACUCAACAUAUCAAAGCAGGUUUGGACUGGAACCCCCUCUCCCCCUUUGGGCUUAUUUCAUCAGAUUUCUCUGAAUUAAAACUAUUAAUUGAAAGUA